GCUGCAUGGCCUACCCAUAGCGGCGGUGGGAGCCUCCGCCGGGGAGAGCCCGCUCGGGGGCAGGAAGUGGCCCGGCCCUCCUCGUGGAGGGCGUUUCCGGAGCGCCUACUGUGCUCCUUGCCGGGGUGGGGGUCGUUACCGAGUGGGAACUUCUGCAAAUCCUGACUUUUGUCACUUCGCGCCCCGCACAAGAUGUCCUGCCGGCGGUGCGAUUGGUCCCGUUGCUUCGAGGGGAAACUGAGGCCACUUAGUCCGGGCACUUACCCGCAGCUAGUUAAGGACUAGGCUCUGAUGGAGACGCUUGUUACGACCUCAAUGGCCUGUAGAAUCUGGGAGGCCGCCUCCGACCUAAGCCCAAAAAGCACAUGAUCGGGCUCACAGGGGGCGGCCAGAGGUGAAAACAGCCAACGCUUUACAACGACGCUGUGCGGGGCACUUCGUGUGUGUCAUCCCGUCUCAUCCUCGGGUGAUAGGAACUGUUCAUUCGGGAAAAUUGCAAACAACUAAAUACCCCUCACCAGGAGCUGGCCCAUUAUAGCAACUCUGAGACCUCUCUACCGCAGGCUCUUAAAAUGGGACACCGCCGCCCGCCCCUCGGGCACCGGACACAGGCGCGGCUGAGGACUGACGGCCCCCUGGAAGCCACUCGGGAGUCCUAGAUUUUGCUGAAGGAAGAAGGGGCUGGAGAAAAUAAAAGGGCAGGAGUCUGGAGUGUGAUAACUGUGGCUUCGUCUCAUUUCCACCCGCCAAGACUAAAACUUCCCUCAUCUGCUCAGCGAGCCUGGUCUGGGCCUCCGGGACAUAAAUCUCGAUGCUGUCUGCGCUCUCGGUGGCUGAGUUCUGCCGCACAGAAGCUGCCCGCUUGGCCGCCAGGAGUCUCUUGCGGGCCUCCUGGCGCUGCUUGUCGCUGGCGUCUGAGGCCUUGUCGCGGCUCACUGCCGGCUUGGAUUUGGCUGGCUUCUUUGGGACCGGAGGGGGUGGUUUCUUCUCUUCCUUUAGUGAGACAGUGAGGAGAGAACAAAAAUAAAAUAAAGGUGCCACGUUUUGUGUGGCACUACCCCCACCAUAUGCCGGCAGCUGGAGUCUCCACCCCAGCCUCCCCGCAUCGGGCACAAGCAACACACACUUGGAAUCAGGAAGCCACGAGAAGCGAUGACUGACAGUGGGAAGAGCUCAAGGCACUGGAGCAGAAAGCAAGCCUAGACUCCGAGAGCGCUCGAGCAGCGGGGACGGGCAGAUCCCAUUGUCCACCCUCAUGUUGAAUCACCGGGAGCCCGAGACUCGGGCAGGAACUAGCCCGAGUCACAGUCAGAGACAAAUUUAGGGCUUCAGGUCCCAUUUUACAGGCUAUUCUAGGGGAUUAGACAGGGCCACGGUUCAACAGGGGUCACUGGUUCUGGUUUGCAGAAGGAAGCCUCAGGGAAGAGGCUGGCUACCACAAGGUCACAGAGCUGGCUCCAGACCCCAGGACUCCUGGCAGCAGGGCCCCAGGAGAAGGGACCAUUUUUGCUGCCUCCUCUGUUAUAACGUGAUUGAGGCUGUGGGCGUGCCUCUCCCAGGAUCCCCUUUUCUGGACAUGCAGGGCAGGACACAUGCUUCAGGGGCAGCCUCAACUACACGGAGCAAGCGGCAUGCCAGACAAGUGCCAAGCAUGGACCCCACGCAGUGAUGGAUGUGAGACCCCAGCUCAAAGACGACACACGGAGAAGGGAGCCAAGCAGCACUGACCGAUGUGGGCAGCGUUAUUGCCGACCAGGAAUUUGUCCCUGGACUUCCCCUCCGCACUGCUCCAUGCUCACCUUCCUCUUCUCGGGGGUCUCCACCAGCUGCCAGCUGUUGGCCUUGAGGUGGUAGAGUUCAUCGAACUUCAUGCUGAUAUCCUCGAUGGACAGCUGUAGCAGGUCCCAGAACCCUGCCAGGUCCUGGGCUGUGGGGCGUGGGUUGGCAUCAGGGUUCUGUGGGCCAGAUGGGGAUCAGUGGGGCCAGCUCAGCAGAGGCUUGUCCUGCUCCCCCCAACCCCCCAACAAGCAGGGUUCCUCUGGGCCCUGCCAGCACCCGCGGGGGCUCUUGAGGCCUAGUGUCUGGGGAAGAAACAGAAGUUCUUGGCCAUGGUGUGACAGUGACACCGAGAGAAGCCCGAUUCACUCCCAGUGAUUCUGUCCAAGGUAAGUACUCCAGAGAAGUUCUCCCACCUCAUGGCAGAGAGACAUGCACCAGAGUGUUGAUGAAACGCUGAAAACACCAAAAUGGCCCCAGUGCAGUGGCUCACGCCUAUAAUCCCAGCACUUUGGGAGGCCAAGGCAGGCGGAUCACCUGAGGUCGGGAGUUCAAGACCAGCCUGACCAAUAUGGAGAAACCUCAUCUCUACUAAAAAUACAAAAAAUUAGCUGGGCGUGGUGGCACAUGCCUGUAAUCCCAGCUACUUGGGAGGCUGAGGCAGGAGAAUUGCUUGAACCCGGGAGGUGGAGGUUGCGGUGAGCCGAGAUCGCGCCAUUGCACUCCAGACUAGCUUAACAGUGGAUGUAACUGCUUCUUUGCUGUGGCAGAUUGUAUUUUCUGAAGGCCCCAACAGUCUCUCCUGUCCCUCCUCCUCUUCUGAAACCUUGAUACUUCCCUAUGAAGAGGUAGGGUCUAAUACUUCCCUCCUUCAACCUGAAGCCCCGCCUUGGGCUUGUGACUUGCUUGUAACCAGUCAAAUACAGUGGAAGAGUUACUACGUGACUUCCAGGGCUAGGUCAGAAAAGGAUGCAGCCUCAGGGUUCAACACACACUUGGGCCUGGAGCCACCAUGCAAGAAGGCUGCCAUGCUGCGAGGGAGCAAAGGCACGUGGAGGGACAUACACAGGGGCUGUGGCUGGCAGUCCUGGCCUUUGAGUCAUCCUUGUUUAAGUGCCAGGCACACACGUUAACUACCUUUAGGUAAUUCCAUACCUCAGGUGUCAUGUCACCCCAAGCCCUUGAGCCUUCCCAUCUGAAGCCCCAGGCUGUAUGGAGAAGAAACAAGAUGUUCCUGCCACGCUCUUUCUGAACUGCUGACAUACAGAAUCUGUGACCAUAAUAAAAUGGUUGUUUUGUGCCAUUAGGUUUGGCGUGACUUGUUAUGCCCUUCCUGCUUCUGUGUCUUUGCUCCCUCCAUCUGGAAUGCCUUUCCUCUCCCCCAGCCUGUAGAUAUUCUCUGAGGCCCAGCUACGAAUGGUAUCUCCUUGGUGGAGUUCCUCACAGAUUUAAGAGGGGUGACCUUAAAACUUGUGGCCACGGCUGGGUGUGGUGGCUCACACCUGUAAUCCCAGCAUUUUGGGAGGGCGAGGUGGGCAGAUCACUUGAGGUCAGGAGUUCAAGACCAGCCUGGCCAACAUGGUGAAACCCUGUCUCUACUAAAAAUACAAAAAUUAGCUGGACGUGGUGGCAUGUGCCUGUAAUCCCAGCUACUCAGGAGGCUGAGGCACGAGAAUCACUUGCACCCAGGAGGCGGAGGUUGUGGUGAGCCGAAAUUGUACCACUGCACUCCAGCCUGGGCAACAGAGUGCGACUCUGUCUCACAAAAACAAAACAAAACAAAACAAAAAAAAAACAACUUUUGUGCCCACAAGUCAGGGCCUUGAGUGGAUGUACAGAAUUUAAUCAGAGAGCCUUGCAAUUUCAAUGAAGAGUAUCAUUCUUAAGAGACAGGAAACAUUAUUCACAACGGCCAAAAGGUAGAUGCAAUCCACCUAUCCAUUGGCAAAUGAAUAGAUACAUAAAAUGUAGUCUCUACAUACAAUAGAAUAUUACUCAGCCUUAACAAGGGAGGGAAUUGUGACACAUGCUAUGGAUGAACCUUGAAGACAUUAUGCAAAGUGAAAUACGCCAGUCACAGAAGAACAAAUGCUGCAUGGUUCCACUUACAUGAAGUAGCUAGAAUAGUCAAACUCAUAGAGACAAAGUAGAGUGGUGGCUGCCAGUGGCUGGGGGUAGGAGGGAAUGGGGAGUUAGUGUUUAAUGGGUACAGAAUUUCAGCUGGGGAAGACAAAACAAGUUCUAGAGAUGGACG
rnacentral:lncRNA from 1 species